rnacentral:rRNA from 1 species
GGGCCCGCACAAGCGGUGGAGUAUGUGGUUUAAUUCGAUGCAACGCGAAGAACCUUACCAGGGUUUGACAUCCUGCGAAUCUCUUGGAAACGAGAGAGUGCCUUCGGGAACGCAGUGACAGGUGGUGCAUGGCUGUCGUCAGCUCGUGUCGUGAGAUGUUGGGUUAAGUCCCGCAACGAGCGCAACCCACGUCGUUAGUUGCCAGCAUUUUAGUUGGGCACUCUAGCGAGACCGCCGGUGAUAAACCGGAGAAGGUGUGGAUGACGUCAAGUCAUCAUGCCCCUUACAUCUGGGCUACACACGUACUACAAUGCUACGGACAAAGGGCAGCAAACUCGCGAGAGCUAGCAAAUCCCAUAAACGUGGCUC